rnacentral:rRNA from 1 species
UACGUAGGGGGCAAGCGUUGUCCGGAUUUAUUGGGCGUAAAGAGCGUGUAGGCGGCCUGACAGGUCUGCUGUGAAAACUCGGGGCUUAACCCCGAGCCUGCAGUGGAUACGGGCAGACUAGAGGUAGGUAGGGGAGAAUGGAAUUCCCGGUGUAGCGGUGAAAUGCGCAGAUAUCGGGAGGAACACCGGUGGCGAAGGCGGUUCUCUGGGCCUUACCUGACGCUGAGGAGCGAAAGCGUGGGGAGCGAACAGG